ensembl:lncRNA
AGAAGCAUUUGCUUACUGAUAGCAGCAUGGAAUACUGAGCACAAGGAAGUCAGAUACAGAUGAAGAUACAUCUUCAUGGUCCUGAAUAUGACAACAAGAUGAAUUUAAGUCAAAUCCUGGUGCAAAGCUAAACCUGCCUGUAACAUCUAUGGAGCAGCCAAAGGCAUCUCAUCAAGCGGUUGAGCCUGACCAGUGGAUCUGUGAAGCCCAUGUUACAAGCAGACUCUGCAAAGCCAUGAAGAUUAUUUGAGUCAUUCUGGAUUUGCUGUGGGACAAAAAACACAGGAUGUGGCCAGAUCCAGCAAACAUACUUUUCAAUCAGAUUUACAUAAAAUCCACUCCUUCACCCACCAGACACACAUACAAAAAAACAAAAUAAUAAUCAUAUCAAAACAGAACUGAUUGUGAAACCUCCUUUUGUCCUGUGAGAAUUUCAGAUUUCAGAAGUUUUACCAUCAAAACUUGAUAAUUCUUGCAGGCCAGUAAUCCAUGAAGAAUUCACCAUAGGUCUUUUGAGAUAUUUUUCAUGCUUUAGGUCUUUUUAAUAAUGGAAAUAAUAAUAAUAAAAAAUAGAGUAAUAAGCAAUGCAACAGCAAGAGCUAUUGCAAAGCAAAAGUAAAACAUUUCCCUCAAAAAAACUCAAAGCUGUAUACAAAUAUUUCAAAAGACAUUUAUUUAUUUAUGUGUUUAUGCACGUAGGUAUUUAUUUUUUAAGAACCUGAAGGAAACAACUGCCGCUUGGUGAGUCAGGGCUCUUUCUAGGAAAAUAUGUUAGCCAAAAAUUCUCAAUGAAUUCUAAUCCACAAAUUCCAUCAUUCCUCAUUUCCCGUACACGCAACUGAGAGGAAGAGAGAAGAGAGAGAGAAAUUUAUGAAGUGUUGCCAAUGGAAUGUAAAAUCCCAGUUUCAGGCUCUUUUUCUUUCUUCAGUGACCUAAUUUGCUCCUGAAAACCCUCAGCCCCACUCUCAGCUGCUCUGCAAGGGAUGGUCUCCACAUGCAAGGACACAAGUAGGUCUGCUUGGAUGUCUUGUGGAGAAGGAGUGUUAGCGCAAGGAAUUAAUGACUUGAUGUGGUCUACAAGAAUUCAGCAGGAACCUGAACCUCACCUGGCAUCCAGAUGAACGGCCUGGGCAGAAGAGUAGUCAUCCUCUGUAAUUCUUGUUCACUCUCUGGUCGUGCUUCUGGGAUAGCAUUGUAUAUACUACAAAGUGGUUGCUUCCACUUCUGUGCCCCCCCCCCGUUUUUUCCUAUACUUUCAACCUAUUCCUAGCCUGAUCUAUUCAAAAUGCAGAAAGGAAAUGAAAUAGAAACUUUCUUAUUAAGUAGUUUUUGGGAACAUUUGAGAGAAGUGCUUAAAAAUUCCUCUGCAGUGAAUUUUCUCUGAAAUGAAGGUAGGAUCCCAGCUGUAAAUCAGGCUGGAUUCUUUUCUAAAUCUAGGUUUACAAUUGCCAUAAACUCAAUCAUUUGCGUUGUCCUUAAACAGAGGGUCCAAGAUUUCCAGACCACUUAGACACUCUGUGACUGAAAUGGUUGCCUGUAACUCAGAACUCGGACAAAAUGAGAGCUUAGUUGCCCUGCUGUCAGUAUUUCUUCACCUCUUCACAAAAUAGUCAAAUUUUUCCCCAUGUGAUCAAAGGAUCUUUAGAUAUCCAAACUAUAAGCUUAAUCCUGGAGCAAGAUGUCCAUCCAUACAGAGGUAGCCCAAAGGUGCAGCGUGAUGAAUCAGGAAGGAAAUUACUCCAUCAGUUUUGAGAGGGAACCCAACCCAUACAUCCUCCAAGAGAAAAAAAAAAAAAAUCACAUUUUCCAGGUUAAUUUUCCUGGAAAGCUCCAUUCAGAGACUAUUCGAAUUCGAAUAGCCUGUUCAGUUUAAACUGGCUUUUUUACCAAAUGCUGGGCAUUUUCUGCAUCAGACUAAUUUCAUUAUAGAGAACAUCUUGCUCUUUUACUCAAAUAUUUUCUUUAAUUCAGAAGAUGGCAGAAAUCAUAGAAUCAUAGAAUGGCCUGGGUUGAAAAGGGCCAUAAUGAUCAUCUAGUUUCAAUCCUGCUGCCGUGGACAGGGCUGCAAACCACUAGACCAGGCUGCCCAGAGCCACAUUCAGCCUGGCCGUGAAUGCCUCCAGGCAUAUGACAGAAAUGACAUAAUAAAAAAAUGAAACCAGGGAUCCUAAUAAUUAGUUAACUAAUUAUGGACUUUGCCAUGGGAUCACUCUGUGACAUUUGAAGGAAGAUGCCUGUACAUUAGGUUCUGUUUGGCUUAAAAGUUCAGAUCUAAUGCUAAGAAUGUCUUUAUGUAGAAUAAGACAAUGACUGAACAUGCCCACAUGAUAAUAACAGGCAAAGAAACCCAUGGAGCUGCAUUUUACUGACAUGAAGGAAUGCACACUAAUGGCAAAAAGGAGAAAACUGCAUCUCUGGAGAGUAAAUCAAAUCCUUCUGGGUAAAGUGGUUAUUAAGAAAUGAACAACCACUGGAAUCUCAGUUGUGCUACCAGAGUCAUGCUCCUUACCUUGACCCUCCAAUUCGAACCACAGAGAACCUGUCCUGAAGACAUAUGAUCAGAUCUACUCUCCUAAAUUCUGAAUUAAUCAGGGGAUAGUGCAUAGGUUGGAAAGAGUUCAUGUCACCUUAUUUUUCAAAAAUCAUAUAUUCUGAAGAAUACUUUAAUACAAUACUUAAAUUCACAGUAUUUUUCAGACUCUGCUUGGCUGUGGAUAGAUAUUUCCCAUUCAGACAUAUGUAUGCUUGAUGCAUAAUGACACACUGAAAAAUAGAAACACAGAAAUUGAACAUUUUAAGGCAGUAAUUCACCUCAAAGAAACUCCUUUGUAAUAGCUGAUCUGUUCUGUCAGAUAACUGCAAGGUUCUUUAGGACAAUGAUGACCUCAGUGGAAGACUUUCAAGCAGUCUUGCGUCUUCUGUAGGGCAGGAACCUUGCAAAGCACUUAGCUCAUCCUGAAUCAGGACCUAAGCCUGGAAGGAGGCAAAUCCUGCAGGCUGCUAGGGUGAGGGAAACUGAAAAUGACCUCUUGCUGUCAGAUUUCACUCAUUCGUUUUAACCCAAGGUUUCCCCAAGGCUGCAGAACAAAUUCCUUCUGUGCAGGAAGUGCUCGUGCUAAUCCAGAGGUUCAAAGCCUGUAUGAGGAAAUAUAAUGCUUCCUCCAGGGACUUUUCAGAGGAGAGUGGUUGACCACAAGAAAAUAAAAUCUCCUGCAGCUGAUCGUAAGCCUGUGUGAGAGGGCUGCUGAGGAGUCACCUAGGAAUGAGUGCAAUUCCUGUUUAUGAGUCAGCAGGGAAGGAGCAGCCCAAGUCAGAUUUUGGGAGAUGCCUGCGCUGUCUGCCUCUUUUCAGACCAUGGGAACACUGCAAGGAAAAUAAUGAGGAGAUAUGAGGUUAAGGAAUGUGGGAAUUCAAGGUUCUAUAGACCAUGCUUAUGGAUGGAUUGAUGUAGCUGCCUGCUAGGCAUGACAACACCUGCAGCAAGCAGAGAUGUGAGCUCUGAUCCAGCAUUGCUGCGUCAUGUUAAGAAUCAGCUGGACACCUGCUUUCUAACCUGCUAAAACCUUCUGUUCUUAGAAGCUCCCCAUAAACUUUGACAUGAGUAGGUUGGACAAAGAAUUCAGUUCUUGACUGUUUGAGAAGUAUGGCAAUGUUAUUUAAGAAUGUUUUGACUUAUUUAUCAGCUUUGUCUUCUAACCUAUUGCCUCCUUUCAGACGAUUACCCUCUGUUGUUUUGUAUUAUUUCUCUUUCUGUCUGAUUUUUCUUAGUUUUGGUUUCAUCUCACCAUGGAUUGAAGAUCAAGGGAAAAUUAUUCUUCCACUUCGCUUUAAUGCAACAUGAACAAAGGUGUUAGAAUGUGAUUUUCAGAAAAUAAGUCAUAAUAGUUAUAAAUUUGUGACGUACCCGUUGGGAUUACACAGGCUGGUCAUGUGCUGGCUUGAAAUCUGGGCUGAAACUGUUACAGCUCAAUUGAAAUCAGCGUUGCAAAUGUAUUUACUCAGAGUGAGACCCAUGGAGUGCAAACACCCCAGGCCUAAUAGUGGACGGAAAAUAGAAAAAGCAACUCCUACUCAUUUACUAUGAUAAAUGAUCACCUCAAGAUCCUAAUGGCCGUGGUGUUCUAUCAACAUGUUCAGCUCCUAUCCAACAUCAGGUGGGGUGGUGGUGGCGGAUGAGUGCAGAGCUCAAAUUAUGCUCUGAUCUUGGCAGGUCCUGGAUAAUUUAACGAGCUUGAUUAGAUGCUAAAUAAAUAUUGGUUUUGCAAUUUGCUCACCAGUUUUGCUCUUGGAUAAAAGAGGCUACAAAUACUGUUGCACUGGCAACAGGAACAAACAAUUUAAAAGAUCCGUUCAGACUGUGAUGAAAGCGUUUGAAGAAGAAAAUUUUGGUGGAAUCAUGUUUUGCUCUAAUGAAAACCCUCUGUUCUGCAGUAACUGAAGAAAAUCAGCAAACUCUACUCCUCAUGACUUGAAUUUAAUUGUCAAUUUAAAGGUGAAGCAGUUUUGUGAAAGGAGGAAGUCCCUCAACAGACCCUAUGUAACAGGAUAAGAGCUAAGAUGAGCUCACUUGUUUCAAUGUCAUAUUCUUUGGUUUUGAUAAAGUUUUCAUAGAUGAAGAUAUCUGGCUACACGCACAUAGUUUAAUAUAAUAUAGUUAUAUUUACUUCCAAUUUUUGCCAGUGAGGGACUAUUCUUGUAGUGCUCACUUCCUUUGUCUUCACUGUAUGCAUAUGUAUUUUUGCAGUGAAAUAAAUGUAUGUACACACACAGAGUUGUGUCAGUGAAUGCCUAGUUCGUUUUUGCACUAAAAAACCCUCCUGUUGCUUUCAACUUCAGUUGAAGGGGACAGAACUUCAGAUAAGAUACGACCUGCUUUGUCCUGGGCAAAUAUGAGUGGUAAACUGUAGAAAUUGUGGUCAGUGUUUGUCCCUUUAACCCAGCAGCUGUCCUGUGCUGUGUAGUCCCUAUUCACAGUGGGUAUUUAUUACAGCUUCAUAAGAUAAUGCACAACAUUAAUGCCCUACACACCCUUUUCAACUGCUUCUGCAAGUUAGCUCA